rnacentral:rRNA from 1 species
UACGUAGGGUGCGAGCGUUAAUCGGAAUUACUGGGCGUAAAGCGCGCGCAGGCGGCUAUCCAAGUCAGUGGUGAAAGCCCGGAGCUCAACCCCGGAACUGCCAUUGAAACUGUUUAGCUUGAGGACGAGAGAGGUGAGUGGAAUUCCCAGUGUAGAGGUGAAAUUCGUAGAUAUUGGGAAGAACACCGGUGGCGAAGGCGGCUCACUGGCUCGUUUCUGACGCUCAGGCGCGACAGCGUGGGGAUCAAACAGG